UACGAGGGGGCGAGCGUUGUUCGGAAUUAUUGGGCGAAAGGGUGCGUAGGCGGUUUGGUAAGUCUGAUGUGAAAUCUAUGGGCUCAACUCAUAGUCUGCAUCGGAAACUGCCGGGCUUGAGUGUGGGAGAGGUGAGUGGAAUUCCUGGUGUAGCGGUGAAAAUGCGUAGAUAUCAGGAGGAACACCUGUGGCGAAAGCGGCUCACUGGACCAUAACUGACGCUGAUGCACGAAAGCUAGGGGAGCAAACAGG
rnacentral:rRNA from 1 species